GGUUACCGUGGCAACGCUCUGCACAGCAGUCACACCGCGAGACUUACAGUGGAGGAGAAGGGAGCUGACAGGAGCUGCAGGAAGGUAAGUAACAGCUAUCUGCCAGCCCCCAACAGGACCGCCGGGCUUGUAAUGAGCCCGGCGGUUCUGGUCUGUAUUAUGGCAAUGUAAGUUGCCAUAAUACAGACACUGACUCGAGUAUAAGUCGAGUGGGGUUUUUUCAGCACAAAUAAUGUGCUGAAAAACUAUACUUAUACUUGAGUAUAUAUGGUACCUCUUUCCAUUUUUAAUGCUAUUGUGUCCCCAUUUCAUAGGAAACACUUACUUCGUUACAUAAAUACAUUUGAAUUACUCAAGAAGAUAUAUAUAAUUUUACCCUAUUAUAUCCCUGGAGAUACAAGAUUCAGAAGGUAGUUGUGUAGUCUUGGGCACCACCUGAAUUUUUUGAAUCCUUGGAAGUGCUGGUGGAGGAGACCUAAUGCGGAUGCGCGGCAGUGGGAGCUCGCGCAUUAGACCUCCCCAUAGGAAAGCAUUAUUGAAUGCUUUCCUGUGGGGAAAAUCUGACUCUGAAGGGUCCAUGAGGACGUCCAACAUCAGAUAACGGAUCAAAAGUCAGUUUAGAUUCUGGAAGACCUCUAAUGGCUUCUCUGGAACUGUAGUGUUUUUUUACAUUGCAGCACUAAUUGCAAAAGGGUCACAUGACCCAGACUACUUCAAUGAGCUGAAGUGGUCUGGGUGCCUACAGUGUCCCUUUCAGACUUAGAGGUUUUGCUCAGGAUCUUCCUUAGGAGACGAGAGCAGUACUACAAAGUGAAUCUGAUUUUUUUUUUUAAAAAGGAGAACAGCAUAGCCCUGUUUGCUCCCUCUGGAGUAAACCGUUCCUCUUCAGAAUUUCUAAACAUUAAGGAUAUUCAUUAUCAGUGUUUGCAUCAUCACUUGUGCUCUGACAAAACGCUUUUUCCUUUAGUUUUUCAUUGUUACACCUGUACUGUAUAUGCGUAUCCCUGGGCAAAUCCAGCUAGCCUAUCGCAUAUCUCUCUCUGUCCAAAACAGUCUGUGAGCUUGCAUUUGUAAAGUAUUUAUUGAGCAGAAUUGCAUUGUUUUUUUUUCUUAUCUCUAAUUGUGUGCACAGUAUUUAUAUGCUAAACAUAAAAGAUGUAUUUUUUUCUUACUGUUUAAAAUAAAUUAAACUGAACUUUUUCAAAAAAAUAAAUCUAUUUAUUUAUAUAUAUAUAUGUGUGUGUGUGUGUGUGCAGAAUUAUUGUGUUUGUUUCUGUUUGUUCACUUAUUUUUCAUUUUCUGAGCAGUGAGUUUCCUGCCAUAUAAAGAGGACUAUGUAAUAUAAGGAGGAUUAAGUAUAUCGGUUUGUGUUAAUAGAUUUGUAUAUGCCAAUGAUGCCCUGUUUAUAUAAGACUGUUCGGAUUGUUUUGUAAAUACCUGCUUCUUAUAUAAAGUGCACUCUAUAGAUACACAAAGAUACCUUAAGUGUUGCAUUUAAAGUGAACCAUUCUAGG